rnacentral:guide_RNA from 1 species
AUAAAACAUCAAGAUAAAUAGAUUGCGGUAGAGAAAGUUAAAUUAUAA